rnacentral:lncRNA from 1 species
CUCCUCUUGGUAAUAUUUUAUAAUAUUACCUUUUUUUUUUUAUGUUACAAUAAUGAACAGAUUAUAUACUGCACAAUAAUCUUGGCAAGAUUGUCUUGAACCAAACGGACCCUUAUUAUCAGUAUAGAGUCCUUCAUACUAAUAAGUCGAUUUCGAUAAUAGAGCUUUCAAAUUGACGAUCUAUACUGUUAAAUAUAAUCUAAAAAUAUUUAAAAUUUUUAAAAAUUAAAUUUCAUAAUUUUUUAAAAUUAUAAUAAAGCUCAUCCAGUGGGCAUAAAAUAAAUGUCAAAAUCAAAUGACCUUCUAAAAUUAGAGGAUCGGAUUCUUCAAUUUAAGAUCGAAGUGAUUGACCUCUAUCUAUAUAGCGAAUAGAAUUUUCUAUCAAAAAUUCAAUAAAUUUUGAUUCUUUUACACUGUUAAACAAGCAAUUAUUCCAUGUCGGCCAUUAAAAAUUGUCAACUUUAAAAUCUUUUGAUCGAAAAAUAAAUAAUAUUAAAAAAUUAUGAAAUUUGAUUUUUAAAAAUUUCAAAUACUCUGAAUAAUAUUUAAUGGUAUGGAUCGUUGAUUCGGAAACGCUCUAUCAUCGAAAAUAACUUAUGAGUACGAAGACUAUCAUACUCCUCUUAUAAUAACGGGACUCUCUCUCCCCUCUAUA